rnacentral:rRNA from 1 species
CCGAGUGGCGCACGGGUGCGUACGCGUAUGCAACCUACCCUUCAGAGGGGGAUACCCAGUGGAAACGCUGAUUAAUACCCCAUAUAUAUUAAAGCCUCAUGGUCUAAAUAUGAAAGUUCCGGCGCUGAAGGAUGGGCAUGCGUCCCAUUAGUUAGUUGGUGAGGUAACGGCUCACCAAGGCAUCGAUGGGUAACUGGUCUGAGAGGAUGAUCAGUCACACGGGCACUGAGACACGGGCCCGACUCCUACGGGAGGCAGCAGUAAGGAAUAUUGGGCAAUGGGGGCAACCCUGACCCAGCCAUGCCGCGUGGAGGAAGACGGUUCUAGUAAUUGUAAACUCCUUUUAUGUAAGACUAAUUAGGUGCUAUACGCACCGACGCAGGUACUACAUGAAUAAGCACCGGCUAACUACGUGCCAGCAGCCGCGGUAAUACGUAGGGUGCAAGCGUUGUCCGGAUUUAUUGGGUUUAAAGGGUGCGCAGGCGGCCUAUUAAGUUAGUGGUGAAAUCUUCCGGCUUAACCGGAUUCCCGCCAUUGAUACUGGUAUGCUUGAGUGUAGUCGAGGAGGUUAUAAUGCGUGGUGUAGCGGUGAAAUGCAUAGAUAUCACGCAGAAUACCAAUUGCGAAGGCAGACCUCUACAGUACAACUGACGCUGAUGCACGAAAGCGUGAGUAGCGAAACAGGAUUAGAUACCCUGGUAUUCCGCUGUAAACGAUGAUCACUAGAUGCUUGUGUCCUAGACAUGAGUGUCCAAGCGAAAAGCGAUAAGUGAUCCACCUGGGGAGUACG